CCCAAAUGUAGACAAAGCA
rnacentral:sRNA from 1 species